UACGUAGGGUCCGAGCGUUGUCCGGAAUUACUGGGCGUAAAGAGCUCGUAGGUGGUUUGUCGCGUUGUUCGUGAAAACUCACAGCUCAACUGUGGGCGUGCGGGCGAUACGGGCAGACUAGAGUACUGCAGGGGAGACUGGAAUUCCUGGUGUAGCGGUGGAAUGCGCAGAGAUCAGCAGGAAUACCCGUGGCGAAGGCGGCCCCCUGGGCCCUAAAAUCCCCCUUUUGGAAAGCACACCCUUCGGGGUGGAAGCUGCCGAUAGGAAACCUGACGCUGAGGCGCGAAGGCUAGGGGAGCGAAGCGGGAUUGAGAU
rnacentral:rRNA from 1 species